rnacentral:lncRNA from 1 species
GUUAAACAGUAAAUUUUGAUUUACUGUACUUGUUUUGGCAAGAUCUUGAAAGUGGAAAUCCAACAAGGUGAUUGUAGCCCCCCAAAAUCUUGUGCACCAAAGAUUUGACUAAGGGCCACUUGAUAUGACAAGAUCAAAGUCACAACACAUAUAAGCAAGAUUCAAAAGCUUAAAUCACAUGGAAUGAUGAAUAGAAGAGUUUCAAUUAAACCAUCAAGUACAUAGCCAACACUAUAAGUCCAGUUUAUUUCCAGAUAAUUGAAAAUACAGUUAGUAAUAACAAAGGGGUUGGUUCUUCAAUCAUAUAUUCCCCGGAACAGGACAGAAGACAAUGGGUGGAAAAGAGAGAGAGAGGGGAACAUCA